rfam:Otolemur garnettii contig003041, whole genome shotgun sequence.
GCCAGAUGUGAUGGUGCACACCUGUAGUCUCAGCUACUUGGGUGGCUGAGACAGGAAGAUCGUUUGCAUCCAAGAGUUCUGGGCUAUAGUGCACUAUAACAAUCAGGGAAUUUGCAUGAAAUUCAGCAUCAGUAUGGCGACCUCUGGGGAGUGGAGUGCAGGGCUACCACGUUGCCUAAGGAGAGGUAAACUGGCACAGGUUGGAAACAGAGCAGGUCAAAUGCUGAUCACUAGUGGGAUCGUGCAUGUGACUAGCCACUACACUACAGCCUGGGCAACAUAGUGAGACCCCCAUCUCUU